rnacentral:lncRNA from 1 species
CGUUCUCCCAGGUGAUAGACCAGCUCACAGAGUGCACGUGCCUUCUCCCAGGUGAUAGACCAGCUCACCGAGUGCACAUGCCUUCUCCAAGGUGAUGUAGAACCUAUCAUGGAUCCACUAUACACAUGACCAAAUUCCUAGAUGACAUGCCUAGUCAUCGGGUCAACAUACAUCUUACAUACUUUUUUUUUUCUUUUGGGUAAGAAGUAAGAAAAUCUUACAUACUCACUUUCAUUUCCACAAUUUCCAGUAUGAUCAGUAGUCUACCACAAUACCUUUAUCACUGCCAAUCGAUACUUAAUUAUUCACCGGUCAAUUACGCAAAUUAAUUCAAUUUAGGAAUAAUCCCUAAAAAUCCACAAUUAAAUUAAUUCAGCACAAUGUAGAACUCAAUUAAAUAAAUGGACUGUACCACGACAAUUAGCACGAAAUUUUGGUCGCUGACUAUCUCAGCCUUAAUUUCAUUAAUAUUAAAAAAUCAAUUUAGCUCAAAAUGAAGCCCAAUUAAACAAACGAGCUGCGCCACGAUCAUCAGCAUAAAAUUCUGAUCACCGGCCAUCCCGAUUGAAUUUCCGGAAAUUAAUUAAUUAAUUAAAUUAAUUUCGAAAAUUAAUAUUUAAUUACUAAAAAUUCCACUUAUGCCCGAAUUGCCAAAUUGAAGCCCGAUUAGGGUCGGGAAAAAUCCCGGGCUACCCUCAAUAAAUAGUAGACCACAUCUACGUGCUAAUUGCAUCAUUAAAUUACCUAAUUUGCAUCGCAAUUGACUAAUAAACACUAAUCUAUACUAAUAAUUAAUUAAUUCCGAAAAUUAAUAUUUAAUUACUAAAAAUUUCACUUAGGCCCGAAUUGCCAAAUUGAAGCCCGAUUAGGAUCGGGAAAAAUUCCAGGCUACCCUCAAUAAAUAGUAGACCACAUCUACAUGCUAAUUGCAUCAUUAAAUUACCUAAUUCGCAUCACAAUUGACUAAUAAAAACUAAUAUAUACUAAUCUAACCACCUAAACCUAAUUAAUUAAAACUAAACAACCCUUAAGUAUAAUUAGUCCACUAAGCAAGGAUUAGUGAGAUUACUCACCGAAAUCGCAUGCAAAUUGGAUCAAUCCAACAGGGGUGACGCGAGGAACAAUACUUCCCAAAGCAACUCUUGGGAUUGGAGCCCAGAAACGGCCCAAAAAGCGAGCCUGAAGGGAGCUGGAAACCUACUC